rnacentral:rRNA from 1 species
CAGCAGCCACGGUAAUACGAAGGGUGCAAGCGUUAAUCGGAAUUACUGGGCGUAAAGCGUGCGUAGGCGGUUUGUUAAGUCUGUUGUGAAAUCCCCGGGCUCAACCUGGGAAUGGCAAUGGAUACUGGCAAGCUAGAGUGUGUCAGAGGAUGGUGGAAUUCCCGGUGUAGCGGUGAAACGCGUAGAGAUCGGGAGGAACAUCAGUGGCGAAGGCGGCCAUCUGGGACAACACUGACGCUGAGGCACGAAAGCGUGGGGAGCAAACAGGAUUAGAUACCCGAGUAGUCCCUGUCUCUUAUAC